GUGGGAGGGGGCUUGCUCCCGAUGGCAUUGGGUCAGUAAGUAGAUGGGUUGGCUGAUGCACCGCUAUCGGGAGCAAGCCCCCUCCCAC
rnacentral:misc_RNA from 1 species